rnacentral:rRNA from 1 species
UACAGAGGGGCAAGCGUUGUUCGGAAUUACUGGGCGUAAAGGGCUCGUAGGUUGCCAACUAAGUCAGACGUGAAAUCCCUCAGCUUAACUGGGGAACUGCGUCUGAUACUGGAUGGCUUGAGUUUGGGAGAGGGAUGCGGAAUUCCAGGUGUAGCGGUGAAAUGCGUAGAUAUCUGGAGGAACACCGGUGGCGAAGGCGGCAUCCUGGACCAACACUGACACUGAGGAGCGAAAGCCAGGGAGCAAACAGG